UACGGAGGUGGCAAGCGUUGUUCGGAAUUACUGGGCGUAAAGGGCGCGUAGGCGGCUUGGCAAGUCAGAUGUGAAAUCCCUGAGCUUAACUUGGGAAUUGCAUCUGAAACUGUUGAGCUUGAGUCCUGGAGGGGAUAGUGGAAUUCCCAGUGUAGCGGUGAAAUGCGUAGAUAUUGGGAGGAACACCUGUGGCGAAGGCGGCUAUCUAGACAGUGACUGACGCUGAGGCGCGAAAGCUAGGGGAGCAAACAGG
rnacentral:rRNA from 1 species